UUCUAGCCCAUAGCAUAUUUCUGGGUCCAGCUCCUUGCGGUGGACUCGUACUUGGCCCGAUCAGUCUUGUACAUGUGAGCAAUCUCUGGAACCAAUGGAUCAUCAGGAUUUGGAUCCGUCAACAGCGAGCAAAUUGAGAGAACAAACUUACCUUUGAAAUAGUCAAUGCAGGACUCCACUGCUCCUUCAAGAUAUCAAGGCAUAUGCUUCCGUUGCUAUUAAUGUUUGGGUUGAAUACGAUGUAAUGUUUCCUUACCUUAGGCGGUUUGAAUGGAUAAUCAGGAGGAAAAUGAAUGGUAACCAAAAACACGCCUCCAGCAUAAGGGCUAUCUGAUGGACCCAUCAGUGUUGCCUGCCAGUGGAACAUAUCUUCUGCCACAGGGCCUGGUAGGAGGUGGGGGGAUCCUUCUGCAGGUCCUUGAGCUCCUUGAGGAUCCGCUUGGACGCCAU
rnacentral:sRNA from 1 species